rnacentral:rRNA from 1 species
CGGUAGAGGAUGGGGAUGCGUUCCAUUGGGCAGUUGGCGGGGUAACGGCCCACCAAACCUUCGAUGGAUAGGGGUUCUGAGAGGAAGGUCCCCCACAUUGGAACUGAGACACGGUCCAAACUCCUACGGGAGGCAGCAGUGAGGAAUAUUGGUCAAUGGGCGAGAGCCUGAACCAGCCAAGUAGCGUGAAGGAUGACCGCCCUAUGGGUUGUAAACUUCUUUUAUAUGGGAAUAAAGUCUGCCACGUGUGGCAUUUUGUAUGUACCAUAUGAAUAAGGAUCGGCUAACUCCGUGCCGGCAGCCGCGGUAAUACGGAGGAUCCGAGCGUUAUCCGGAUUUAUUGGGUUUAAAGGGAGCGUAG